CUCUCCUGCGCAAGCGCUCUUCAACAUCACUCCUUGCUACCUCGCCCCCCACCUCCUCCAGGUUUUUAAUCCUGGGUGGGCCUGAGAAGCUUUUAACUACAUCAGAAAUGGAAGCUUUAACUUAAAUUGACCCAGACUUUUGGCACCUAAAAAUGGGACUAUUCUAAUACCUUGAAAGUGACAGAAGCGCCAAGCAACGCUCAACACACUGCGUGGAUGGAGAAGGGAGAAUUGACAAGAAUGCAUAAUUGGCAUAGAUAUCUUCAUCAACUGGCAGAAUUCCCACACUGCUUCCCUGACCUGUGGAAUAAGAGCCAUUAUGGGAGAAAAGGCUAAGUGGAAACCACUAUAACUGUGUACUUAUGGUGACCUAUGAAAAUAGGAAAUCAGAAGCAAUACUGCAUUCUUACAGGGAUUGCAGAUUAGUGCCACCAUCAAGGACUUGGAAGAAGAUAAAGAGGUGGUGAUUCCUACCCCGUUCCCCCAUUCAUCUUUCCUUUUUUUUUUUGGC